UAAGCAGCUUUUUAGUACAAAAAUAUUAAUUGUUUUAUUACAAAAUUGUUUUAAGAAACAGUAAAAAAAUAGUCCCAAACAAAGCUUAAGAUAAAUUAACACAUAUUAUCUAUACUACUAUUAUAAGUGUGACUUGAGUUUCCACCCUCAUAAAAUCCUGAAAGUCCAUUAAAAUUAUCAAAUUUUAAUGACAUGUGAAAUUAGCUGUUUUGCAAUUCUACCUCUCACCGAAUGGUUUCUCUGCUCAUCUCUUUCUCUCGCCGAACGUAAUAACUCAUCCAUCUUCAUCUCGCCGAACCCAUCACACCACCUAUUACUUCGAAGGCUCCUUCGCAUCUCAUUCCUAGGCAAUCUUUGGCUUUCUCCAGCAACUCUUCUCUGGCGGUGGUCUAUUGGGACUUAUCACUAAUCAGUUGCAACUCCUCUUCAGAGGUCGUGUAAGGUUCUGCUGCUUUCAUAAACGAAAUUAUGCAUCUGUAAGAGAUUUCUAUGUUUUGAAGAACAUGACAUGGUUUUGCAUUCACUAAUUUUGUAUUUGAAUGAGCAGCAUUUCCAAAGUGGCUUUAAAUUCCCUAAUUUUGCAUUUGAAUGAGCACGAAGUGGUUUUGCAGUCUAUUCUUCUUUUCAUUUAUUAAUUUAGUAUCUAUGUUUUGGAACUGAUUUUUUUAUUCACUUCUUUUUAUUUAUUAAUUUAGUUUCUAUGUUUUGGUUCAUUCAAAAUUGGUUGAAUGAUUGUGUUGAUCCAUUCGAGUUUCAAAGAAUUUUAUGCUUUUAACAUUAUAUAUUUGAUAUUAUUGGAACAUAUAAGAAGUGCACCCGCCAUGUCCUUGUUUACAUAGAUAACAAAUCUAUACUAAACAAGUAUACAACAGUCGCUAAACCUCUUGAAGACUUCUUCGAGGUUCUUCACAUUCUAUGCUUAAUCUAAAUAACUUAGCAAAUAGUUUUAUUCAUGACUUCAUUGAUUUGGUUAUGUAAGUUAAAACCAUUGGCAGCACUCAAAGUGGCAAAAAAUCACACCCUGGAUUCUGCUCUGCCAACAGCUCCGCCAUUCCUCAACUAGAAAAAUUCUUCUAUGAGAAUUACCCUUAUUUCAGUUCUAAAAGGCAAGUGUUUUACUACUUGAAUGAUUAAUAUUGAACAUGCUAGAUACAUUACGUGAUUCAGGUUUUUUGUC